CCCAGAUCCUGCAUCCCAUAUCAUGCAUCCUACAUCCUGCAUCCCAUAUUCUGCAUCUUGCAUUCCAUAUCCUGCAUCCUUCAUCCCAUAUCCCGCAUCCUACAUCCCACAUCCCGCAUCCUACAUCUUAGAUCCCAUAUCCUGCAUCUUACAUCCUGCAUCCUACAUUACAAAUCCCAAAUCCUAAAUCCUCCAUCUUGCAUUCUUCAUCUUUCAUUCCGAAUCCUGAAUCCCAGAUGCUGCCCUCCACACCCCAUAUCCCACAUCCUGCAUCCCAUAUCCCACAGCCUGUAUCCCUUUCCCUGCAUCCCAUAUCCCACAGCCUGUAUCCCAUUCCCUGCAUCCCACAUCCUUACUCUCGCAUCCCAUAUCCCACAUCCUUUCACAUCUCACAUCCCACAUCCCCGAUCCCAAAUCCUGCAUCCUGUACCCUACACCCCAUAUCCUUUAAACUACAUCCUUGGUUCCACAUCCCAUGCCCACACCCCACAUCCUGUACCCCACAUCCUGAAUCCCAAAUCCUAAAUCCUCCAUCUUGCAUUCUUCCUCUUUCAUUCCAAAUCUCGAAUCCUAGAUGCUGCCCUCCACACCCCAUAUCCCACAUCCUUGCCCCCAUAUUCCCACGUCCUUGCACACCUUUGCACGCCCUUGCAGACCUUUGCAUGCCCUUGCAGACUCUUGCACACCCUUGCACACCUUUGCACAUCCUUGCAAACCCCUGCACACCAUUGCACACCGCUGUCUGCCCUCGCGCAUCCCUGCAGACCUUUGCACAUCCUUGCAACUCACGCACCCUUGCACAUCUUUGCACGUCCUUGCAGGCUGCUGCACGUCACUGUGCACCCUUGCACGCCCUUGCACACCUUUGCACGGAGGCAUGCCAAGCACACACUGCGUGGCUGCGCACGGGAUGCAAUUCACCCGGGGAAUUCACAACCAAAGGGGUGCAAUUGGAUGCAAAGACACCAAAGCUUUGCACGCUCAGGAGCAGAUUUCUGGGGGCACAGCAGCGUGCUUUGAUCUCAUUGCUGGCCCAGCACAGCCUGGCCCUUUGCCUUUGCUGUUACCCAAUUUGGAACAGCCCCAGCCCCAGCAUUUUGGACCCCCCCAGCUGCAAAUCCUCCCUCUCCAAUCUGGAGACAUUCCCUCCACCACCGCAUCCCAACAGCACCGCCGCAGAACAAAG
rnacentral:lncRNA from 1 species